GGGCCGGUAGCUCAGCGGUAGAGCACCUGACUUUUAAUCAGAGGGUCGUGGGUUCGAUCCCCACCCGGCUCACCA
rnacentral:tRNA from 2 species